rnacentral:rRNA from 1 species
UACGUAGGGGGCAAGCGUUGUCCGGAUUUAUUGGGCGUAAAGAGCUCGUAGGCGGUUCGGUAAGUCGGGUGUGAAACCUCCAGGCUCAACCUGGAGAGGCCACCUGAUACUGCUGUGACUCGAGUCCGGUAGGGGAGCGUGGAAUUCCUGGUGUAGCGGUGAAAUGCGCAGAUAUCAGGAGGAACACCAGCGGCGAAGGCGGCUCACUGGACCGGUUCUGACGCUGAGGCGCGAAAGCGUGGGGAGCAAACGGG